CAAAACAAAACAAAAUAUUUCUCAAGAAAAUGAUGAAAUCCUUUGACUGUGAGUCUUCAUGUUUGGAUUCUUGCAGGACAGGCAUAUGAGCACCAAUUUGGCAUGCAAGGGGAGAGGCAAUCUCAGGAAAGACUGGUUGGAAAAUGAUACAAGGAACAUGAGGAAGAUAAAAAGGAGUUGUCCUCUCAGAAAACUCUUUCUGGAAAACACUGUGUGGAAUCAGAUGAAUCCCCCUGAUAAGUUCAUUGAAAUAUUUCUGAGUACUUGUCACAGAAUUCCAGCUGUGCAGCAUGGUGUAUAUUCAGAGGGAGACUUCUGACAGCUCUCUGUCACCCACAGCCUCCUCAGGCGGGCUUUGUCUAGAAGCGUUUGAGAGGGAACUGACACUGCAACAGCUAUCAAAA